GGGCCGUUAGCUCAGCGGGAGAGCGCUUCCCUGACACGGAAGAGGUCACAAGUUCAAAUCUUGUACGGCCCA
rnacentral:tRNA from 1 species